AAGUCGUAACAAGGUCUCCGUUGGUGAACCAGCGGAGGGAUCAUUACCGAGUUUACAACUCCCAAACCCCUGUGAACAUACCUAUACGUUGCCUCGGCGGAUCAGCCCGCGCCCCGUAAAACGGGACGGCCCGCCCGAGGACCCCUAAACUCUGUUUUAGUGGAACUUCUGAGUAAAACAAACAAAUAAAUCAAA
rnacentral:misc_RNA from 1 species